rnacentral:rRNA from 1 species
CCAGACUCCUACGGGAGGCAGCAGUGAGGAAUAUUGGUCAAUGGGCGGAAGCCUGAACCAGCCAAGUCGCGUGAGGGAGUAAGGCCCUACGGGUCGUAAACCUCUUUUGCCGGGGAGCAGUGCCCAGCUCGUGAGCUGGGAGGGAGCGUACCCGGAGAAAAAGCAUCGGCUAACUCCGUGCCAGCAGCCGCGGUAAUACGGAGGAUGCGAGCGUUAUCCGGAUUUAUUGGGUUUAAAGGGUGCGUAGGCGGAAUGCCAAGUCAGCGGUAAAAUCGGGGGGCUCAACCUCGCUCCGCCGUUGAAACUGGCGUUCUUGAGUGGGCGAGAAGUAUGCGGAAUGCGUGGUGUAGCGGUGAAAUGCAUAGAUAUCACGCAGAACUCCGAUUGCGAAGGCAGCAUACCGGCGCCCAACUGACGCUGAAGCACGAAAGCGUGGGUAUCGAACAGGAUUAGAUACCCUCGUAU